rnacentral:rRNA from 1 species
UACGUAUGGAGCAAGCGUUAUCCGGAUUUACUGGGUGUAAAGGGAGUGUAGGCGGCAUGUCAAGUCUGAUGUGAAAAUCCGGGGCUUAACCCCGGACCUGCAUUGGAAACUGUCAGGCUGGAGUGUCGGAGAGGUAAGUGGAAUUCCUAGUGUAGCGGUGAAAUGCGUAGAUAUUAGGAGGAACACCAGUGGCGAAGGCGGCUUACUGGACGACAACUGACGCUGAGGCUCGAAAGCGUGGGGAGCAAACAGG